UACGUAGGGGCCUAGCGUUGUCCGGAUUUAUUGGGCGUAAAGAGCUCGUAGGCGGUUCGGCAAGUCGGAUGUGAAAUCUCCACGCUCAACGUGGAGGGGCCAUUCGAAACUGCCGUGACUCGAGUCCGGUAGGGGAGUGUGGAAUUCCCGGUGUAGCGGUGAAAUGCGCAGAUAUCGGGAGGAACACCAGUAGCGAAGGCGGGUCUCUGGACAACACCUGACGCUGAGGCACGAAAGCCAGGGGAGCAAACGGG
rnacentral:rRNA from 1 species